GAAACAGAAGAGAUGAAAAACCCUGGGGAUGCAGCCUCGCAGGUCUCAAACUGCUAAGCACAACCUGCAUAUCUCUUGGCUGAGUUCCUUUCUUGGCUCAGAGUCAGAUUUUGCAUGACCUAGGAGGCUUAGGACCCAGGGGGCGCCUUUCAGCUGAAAAACAGCUCGCGCUGCAGCAAGCUAGCUGGGAAGCUCCCAGUUCUAAAGAGAGGCUGUUUACCAGAAGAGCAUAACAAGGGCAGGUCUGACUGCAAGGCUGGGACCGGGAGGCAGAGCCGCCGCAAAGGGGGCCCCAGUUAAACACUGGUCGUUCAAUCACCUGCAAGAUGAAGGAGGCAAGGAUGCUGUUGGCCUGGGUACAAGCAUUCCUCGUCAGCAACAUGCUCCUAGCAGAAGCCUACGGAUCUGGAGGUUGUUUCUGGGACAACGGCCACCUGUACAGGGAGGACCAGACCUCCCCCGCGCCGGGCCUCCUCUGCCUCAACUGGCUGGACGCGCAGAGCGGGCUGGCCUCGGCCCCCGUGUCGGGCGCCGGGAAUCACAGUUACUGCCGAAACCCGGACGAGGACCCGCGCGGGCCCUGGUGCUACGUCAGUGGCGAGGCCGGCGUCCCUGAGAAACGGCCUUGCGAGGACCUGAGAUGUCCAGAGACCACCUCCCAGGCCCUGCCAACCUCCACGACAGAAAUCGAGGAAGCGUCUGAAGGGCCAGGUGUAGAUGAGAUGCAGGUGUUCGCUCCUGCCAACACCCUGCCCUCCCGGAGUGAGGCGGCCGCUGUGCAGCCAGUGAUUGGGAUCAGCCAGCGGGUGCGGAUGAACUCCAAGGAGAAAAAGGACCUGGGAACUCUGGGCUACGUGCUGGGCAUUACCAUGAUGGUGAUCAUCAUUGCCAUCGGAGCUGGCAUCAUCUUGGGCUACUCCUACAAGAGGAAGCAAGAUGUUGAAAAUCAGCUCAAGAUGUAGAGACUUGGUCCUAGUCUUUAUCCGCUGACCUUGGACAAACCCUUUCCUUUGGUGCCUUUACACCUCACUUAAAAGCCUUGUGAGGUAUCUUCUUGUUCCCCAUUUUACAAACGAAGAAGCCUCUGUCAGAGACUUGCUCAAAGUCACACUGCCUGGGAGUGGCAGAACCUGGAUUCAGACCCAGCUGUUUUGAUAGCAAAUUCCCUGCUGUCUGAUCCAACAUGCCUGGCAUUGAAGCGAGUGGCACUGCAGAAAUCAGGCUGGACACUGAUUGCAGGGACCUUAAGACCGAAUUCUUUCUGUGAGUUAUAAAAUUCUGCUACUAGAAAAGGUUUCCAGCCACUGUUUUUGCAGUUGGGGCUUAAAUUUCCUGAGCUAUAAGCAGUGGGAUCUCCUCUGCUAGGGAAGAAAAAAGUGAGAUGGAGAACAGAAAGUCUGUUUGCCACUCUUCACCACAUGUGAGAAAGCCAAAGAGGUGACCUAUGAAACUCAAGGACAUGACCUGUGGCUGGGGCAGCAGAAGAAUGCUUAUUUGAAAGGUCCCACGAGAUGCCCAUCAGUGACUGGUGAAUGAUGGGGGAAGGAUUUGAAAGAACAGCAUGAUCAGAAAAUGUGUGAGAGGGAGAUGCAGCGAAUCACUCUGCCCUUGUCUGCCUUCACCAACCCUACCUGUGAGAUUGUGGAUGAGAAGACUGUCGUGGUCCACACCAGCCAGACUCCAGUUGACCCUCAGGAGGGCAGCACUCCUCUUAUGGGCCAGGCCGGGACUCCUGGGGCCUGAGUCCCCUCAGUGGGCAGGAGCCCAUGCAGACACUGGUGCAGGACAGCCCACCCUCCUACAGCUGGGAGGAUCUACCACUUUGUGUUCUGGUUAAAACCCUACCAUUCCCCCUCCUUUUUUGGUGAAUCCUAAUAAGUGACAGAAGCAGAUGGCACUGUGGGCUGAGGGUAAGGCUGGGCAGGGUCCUAACAGUGCUCCUUCUCCAUCCCUUGGAGCAGAUUUUGUCUGUGGAUGGAGACACUGGCAGCUCCCACAGUGAUGCUGCUGCUAAGGGCUUCCAAACAUUGCCUGCACCCCUGGAGCUGAACCAGGGAUAGAUGGGGAGCUCCCCCAGGCUCCUCUGUGCUUUACUAAGAUGGCCUCAGUCUCCAUCAUGGGCUUGAGUGGCAUACACUGUUAUUCAUGGUUAAGGUAAAGCAGGUCAAGGGAUGGGAUCGAAAAAAUAUGUUUAGUUUUUAAAAUAUUUGGGAUGGAACUCCCUACUGACCUCUGAGAACCAGAAGUGAGUCUGUACAGAAGUCAGAAAUUUUGGGUUGAGAAUGAGAUCUAGGUUGUGCUGGUAUGCUCCAGCUUGCUAGCAAUGAUGUGCCUUGACAACUAUGGGCCAGGCCUGGGCCCAGGGACUCUUCCUGUUUCACAAGGAAAGGAAGGGAAGAAUUGCACUGAGCAUUCCACUUAGGAAGAGGAUAGGGAAGGAUCUGCUCCGCCUUUGGCCACAGGAGCAGCUUUGGCCACAGGAGCAGAGGCAGACCUGGGAUGCCUGUUCCUCUUCAGGGAUGGAUAGUGACCUGUCUUCAUUUUGCACAGGUAAGAGAGUGGUUAGCUAACCUAUGGGAAUUAUACUAUGGGGCCUUAUGAGCUGCUUCUAAGAGGUUAACCUGGAAACUAAGCUCAGAGGCAAGAUAAUAAAGCACUUUAGGGCUUGCUCCUGAGUUGGGCUUGAUUUAGCAGGUGGUCCUGUGGGCCUCCAGGCCAGCACCUUCCUGUAGGGCAGUGGGGCUAGGGUCACAGCCCCUAACUUACAAAACAAUCAAAGAAUCAUUAGAAAGGGUUCAUUAAACCUUUUGGACACAGGGCCUCAGAGAGGAAAAAGUGACUUGCCCAAGGUCAUAAGCAAGCUACUGGCAUGGCGAGAGCCCAGCCUCCUGACUGAGUGCAACAUUUCUCCACUGCACUGUGGUAGCAGCUCAGCAGGGCCUCUAAGCCUUGAUGUCACACUCGAAGGCCUGGCAGCCCCUGGCCAUAGAGCUUCCUUUUCAGAGCCCUUCCACUGCCCAAUGUGGAGAUGGGGGUUAGUGGGGCUUUCUAUGGAGCCAUCUGCUUUGGGGACCUAGACCUCAGGGGGUCUCUUGGUGUUAGUGAUGCUGGAGAAGAGAAUAUUACUGGUUUCUACUUUUCUAUAAAGGCAUUUCUCUAUAUACAUGUUUUAUAUACCUCAUUCUGACACCUGCAUUUAGUGUGGGAAAUUGCUCUGCAUUUGACUUAAUAAAAAAAAAAAAGACUCCA